rnacentral:rRNA from 1 species
GUGCCAGCAGCCGCGGUAAUACGUAGGGUGCGAGCGUUGCCCGGAUUUAUUGGGCGUAAAGGGCGCGUAGGCGGCUCGGCACGUCCGUUGUGAAAUCGCCCGGCUCAACUGGGCGGGGUCGGCGGAUACGGCCGAGCUGGAGCAAGCUAGGGGGUAAUGGAAUUCCCGGUGUAGUGGUGGAAUGCGUAGAUAUCGGGAGGAACACCAGUGGCGAAGGCGGUUACCUGGAGCUUUGCUGACGCUGAUGCGCGAAAGCGUGGGGAGCGAUCCGGAUUAGAUACCCGGGUAGUCC